CGAGGUUCGACUAAGCCAUGUGGGUUCUUGCAUACAUGGCGUACUGCUCAGAAGGACGUUUCCUACCCUCAGUCGGGAUAAACCGGGAAACUGGGUAUAAAAGUAGACUCGAAUGCUGGAAUGCAUCGAGAUUGAACUCCGGCGCCCGAGGAUGGAUCUGCGGCCUAUCAGGUAGUAGUGGGUGUAGCGUACCUACUAGCCUACGACGGGUACGGGUUGUGAGAGCAAGACCCGGAGAUGGAUCUGAGACACGAAUCCAGGCCCUACGGGUGCAGCAGGCGCGAAAACUUUACAAUGCUGGCAACAGCGAAAAGGGGAGCCCGAGGCCGGUUACAAAUCUGGCUGUCGAGAUG
rnacentral:rRNA from 1 species